GCAAAAUUUUAGUAAGAGACUUUCUGUCCUGAAGAUCAUACCUUUGAAGUAUACAAGACAGGCAAAAUGUGGCAGAAGGGAAGAACUGUUAUAACUAAUUUACAGGAAACUGAAGGUCAAAGAUGUUAACUUUUUCCAAGAUCAGACGGGAGGCUGGAACUGUGAAUCAAGGUGUCCACUUGGAAAACAACAUUUUAACCCCUGCUUCUCCUCUUCUGGUCUUCUGGUGCCUCAGUAUGCUGACUAUGGAAAUCAUGUUAGACAAAAAGCAAAUUUGAGUGAUUUUUUAAUUCAAGUUCAAAAUGGGUGGUAAAGCAGCAUAGACAACUUGAAACAUCAACAGCACAUUUGGCCCAGGAACUGCUAACAAAUGUACAGUGCAGUGGUGGUUCAAGAAGUUUCAUAAAGGAGAUGAGAGCCUUGAAGAUGAGGAGUGUAGUAGCCAGCCAUCGGAAAUUGUCAAUGACUAACUGAGAGGAAUCAUCGAAGCUGAUCCUCUUACAGCUACACGAGAAGUUGCCAGAGAACUGAACAUUGAACACUCUAUGGUUGACUGGCAUUUGAAGCAAAUUGGAAAGCUGAAAAACCUUGAUAAGUGGGUGCCUCAUAAGUUGACUGAAAAUCCAGAAGAUCAUCAUUUUGAAGUGUAAUUUUCUCUUUUUCUGUGCAACAAUAAUGAAACGUUUCUUGAUUGGAUUGUGAUGUUCGACAAAAAGUGGGUUAUACACAACAACCAGUGACAAUCAGUGGAGUGGUUGGGCCGAGAGGAAUCUUCAAAGCACUUCCAAAUAGUGGUCAUGCUCACUGUUUGGUGAUCUGCUGCAGAUCUGAUCCACUACAGCUUUCUGAAUCCUGGUGAAACCAUUACAUCUGAGAAGUAUGCUCAGCAAAUCAAUGAGAUGCACCAAAAACUGCAGUGCCUGCAGCCAGCAUUGGUCAACAGAAAGGGCCCAGUUCUUCUCCAUGACAAUGCCUAGCUGCACAUUGCACAACCAACACUUCAAAUUUGAAGGAAUUGGGCUAUGAAAUUUUGUGUCAUCUACUGUACCCAGCUGACCUCUCGCCAACUGACUACCACUUUUUCAAGCAUCUUACCAAGUUUUUGCAGGGAAAAUGCUUCCACAACCAGCAGGAUGCGGAAAAUGCUUUGUAAGAGUUCGUUAAAUCCUGAAGCAAGUAUUUUUAUGCUUUAGGAAUAAACAAACAUUUCUUUUUGGCAAAACUGUGUUGAUCAUAAUGGUUCCUAUUUUGAUUAAUAAAAAUGUGUUUGAGCCUAGUUAUAAUGACUUAAAAUUCACAGUGCAAAACCACAAUUACUUUUGGACCAACCUAAUUUUUCCCAAUUAGAAAGAAAUGAACAGAAAUGGAGUGAGAUGAUGGCUCAUUGACUAGUGACAGUACAUGAGGAUGGAUGACAGUAGGUGAAACUUCACUUUGCUGUUGGCAACCUGUGGCUUGCUGGAGAUUAGCUGCAAGAAAUAGCUCAGAGGGGUUUCUUUCAAAACACAGCUGUUACCUGACACUGGUUGACAAUCCAAGGCAAAACACUUGGAUAUGAAGUGCUGUACCUUAAUUAUUGUACUGUAAAAUGAUUUGUCUGUCAAGUGUAUACUUUGGUAGACAGAUGUAGCAUAAUAAACUUAUAAUAAAAUAUCUCCGUAUAGUAAAUUCUUUUGU